rnacentral:rRNA from 1 species
GACGAACGCUGGCGGCGUGCUUAACACAUGCAAGUCGAACGGAAAGGCCCUGCUUUUGUGGGGUGCUCGAGUGGCGAACGGGUGAGUAACACGUGAGUAACCUGCCCUUGACUUUGGGAUAACUUCAGGAAACUGGGGCUAAUACCGGAUAGGAGCUCCUGCCGCAUGGUGGGGGUUGGAAAGUUUCGGCGGUUGGGGAUGGACUCGCGGCUUAUCAGCUUGUUGGUGGGGUAGUGGCUUACCAAGGCUUUGACGGGUAGCCGGCCUGAGAGGGUGACCGGCCACAUUGGGACUGAGAUACGGCCCAGACACCUACGGGAGGCAGCAGUGGGGAAUAUUGCACAAUGGGCGGAAGCCUGAUGCAGCAACGCCGCGUGCGGGAUGACGGCCUUCGGGUUGUAAACCGCUUUCGCCUGUGACGAAGCGUGAGUGACGGUAAUGGGUAAAGAAGCACCGGCUAACUACGUG